CUACGGGGGGCUGCAGUGAGGAAUUUUGCGCAAUGGGGGAAACCCUGACGCAGCAACGCCGCGUGAGUGAUGAAGGCCUUCGGGUCGUAAAGCUCUGUCAAGUGGGAAGAACCUGCAGUGUGCUAAUAUCACGUUGCACUGACGGUACCACUGAAGGAAGCACCGGCUAACUCCGUGCCAGCAGCCGCGGUAAUACGGGGGGUGCAAGCGUUAUUCGGAAUCAUUGGGCGUAAAGAGCACGUAGGCGGCUUGGUAAGUCAGAUGUGAAAGCCCGGGGCUUAACCCCGGAAGUGCAUUUGAUACUGUCAGGCUUGAGUAUGGGAGAGGGAAGUGGAAUUCCUGGUGUAGAGGUGAAAUUCGUAGAUAUCAGGAGGAACACCGGUGGCGAAGGCGACUUCCUGGACCAAUACUGACGCUGAGGUGCGAAGGCGCGGGUAGCAAACAGGAUUAGAUACCCCGGUAGUC
rnacentral:rRNA from 1 species